rnacentral:lncRNA from 1 species
CUUUUUAAUAUGAAAUAGUCUAGGAAAACAAAACUUGAGUUAACGCCACACUGCUAGCUUUUUGCCUUUUGUUACAAACAUGCUGAAAUGGUCUCAAUAAUGAUGCUACUAAAGCACCGUGUGCAUUGUUUUGAUGGGGUAUUGAUUCCUUCUGCAGUGUUCAACGUUGCCUGCAUGCCUUCCAGCAGCAAAUGUGUGUGUGCCAGGCUGUGGGAGAUGAGUGUUCCAAAUGGAAUGCUAGUUUACUUUUCAUAGCUGUGCAGCUUAAGGGAGAGCAGUGGUGUUAGAGAUGAGGCCUUAUGGCACUGACUAACACACUGGGAUCCAGUGCAUGCAUGCGAUCUACAGUUAUUUUAACAAAACCUAAUCAGAGGAAGCAAAAACUGGCAUUCAUAGGAUCGUUUUAUUGUCUGCCAUAAGCCACUAGAAGGAAUAUCUUAUUCUUUUUAAUAAUCCUUUUGACAAUUGUCUAUGUUUUAAAAUAUAAGGUUAUGGGGAGGUGAGUUCAGCGGGGUUAACUCAAGCUUCAGAUGUGGCGGCAUGAGACUAAGGUGGGGGGAGAGUGGAAGUGCUGGUCAGAUGGGAUGCUCAGGAGUGCUCACCACACCGAGUUCCCUCUGCUAGCUGCUCCACCUGCCUCAGGCGGCAGCUACUGCACACAGGGCUUCUUAGGCACGCUCUGGUCUGCAUAAGGACCCUGGAUCCCGAAUGAGGAAACAACCUGCUCAGGCUUAGUUUUCAAAGUAAAGGCAGUGAGGACAAUUGUCUGUGCUGAUCAAUUUUCAGGAAGUGAGCAUUUACUGUGAUGUCACUACUCACUUGUUGUGGCCGUCAGCUACUGCCACAACUAGGUGGUAGGUAAAUGUCAAAGCCUCGGCUCUCCUAUUCUUUGUAGGAACAUGAAUGAGUUUGUUAAUGGAACUGAGUAAGUAUAACGCUGGUUGAGAAAUGAAGCCUGUCAGAUCCCUCCUCACUCCCUGGUUCUUCCUCAUGUCAGGCUCCUGUUAACUGUGUGAUUCCAACAGACAUAGCAAGCUGUUAUUUUGCUUAAAAUGUCCUUUCCCUUGUGCAGUGAAAGUUGAAUGUGGGAACAGACUUAAUAGGUAUAGUUAUACAGUUUAUUUUAUCAUGUAUCACUUUAUUGCUGUCUUCUAGAACAUUGUUAUACUAAAUGUUUCAAUAAUGGGAAUUUUAUGCAGCUACUUCAAAUGAAAGAAAUUUGCAAAAACUCAAUUUUGGAACUCAUUCCUUGAGGAGAAGG